GCAAUUUAAAACAGUUAGUUAGAAAUUAUCUUGGAGUAAAAAUGAAAAUAUUGUUGAUUUUAGUAGUUGCCUUGUGUGCUUUUUGUCAUGCUAAUCCUUUGGAUAAGCCUGAUUCUGUAAAGGCUAACGAAGCACUGCAUAUUAAUCCUGCAGAUUUGGUUUUAUAAAAUAGGGAUUAUGUCGUUUUUGAAUGAAAAAAAUAUUUAAAUAAAAAUAAAUCACUUUGUAAUAAACUAAAUGGAUAUAAAUGUAAAUACUACAAGUAUAUGAGCUGAUUGUGAUGUGCUUUUUUAAGGAAUAGAUUACAUAUAUUUAAACAACAGUGUUAAGACUGCUUCUUUGAUUUAUGUACAGGAUAUUCAUUUGACAUUUUUUCUGAACAAGUCCCUAUUUUGCAACACUGUGUAAAACUUUCUGUGCACAAAUUUUCUGCCCAACUCUGCGAGACGAAUUAAAAUACAUUUCAUUUUGUAAUUCAAAUAAAUGUGAAUCCAAUGAAAUUUAACACACAUCUUAGGCAAAAUUCUAUUUAAAGCGAGAAUAGUGUUUUAAAUCCAACAGUCUGUUGAAUUUUCCUUGGAGUGAAAAUGAAAUUAUUGUUGAUUUUAGUAGUUGCCUUGUGUGCUAUUUACCACGUUAGUCCUUCAGAUAAGCUAUGGGCUAUCGAAGCACAGCAUCCUAAUCCUGCAGAUUUGGUUUUAUAAUAUAGGGAUUAUGUCGUUUUUGAAUGAGUAAAAUAUAUAAAUAAAAA